GCCUUCAUGGUGUAGUGGUCAGCACGCUCGGGGCGUAUUCGAGAAGUCUGUGGUUCGAAUCCCGGCGAGAGCU
rnacentral:tRNA from 1 species